rnacentral:misc_RNA from 1 species
CAGAGUUCUCGCCCUCGCGGGUAGAUCUCCCACCCACUGUUAUUGCUACCGUGUUGCUUUGGCGGGCUGCUGGGCCUAGCCCGGCCGCCGGCUCCGGCUGGUGAGCGCCUGCCAGAGGACCCAAAACUCUGAAUUUAAUGUCGUCUGAGUACUAUAUAAUAGUUA